ensembl:processed_transcript
GGGGACACUGGAGAAGGCAUCAGCUGAGGACACAGCUGUGGAGAAAGAACAGAGUUUGCAGAGAGAGAGAUAGAGAGGAGCGUUCUGGUAGCCAUCUGCAGGGGGAGACUGCAUUUAUUAAUGGUUACUUUGUAUACUUCUUGUCUCAGUCGCUGUUUCAUUGUUGGGAAGAGACACCAUGGCCAGGGUGAGGCAAACAGACCUGAAGUGACCCACCCGGGGUCACAUAUUUAGAAAGGGGUGAAGACUGGUUCACACACAACCUCUGAGACACAAGAUUUUGCUUGCUGCUACUCCCUGACUGCUAAAGGUAACCUGGGAAGCCCGAUCAGCAACUCUAAGACUUCCAAGUGUGAACUAUAGAAAGAAAGCUGACUAAGCCAGACUGCAGUGAGAGGCUGUCUAGAGAAUAGAAAGAUGGAAGACUGCCUGGAGGAAUGGCCUGCUAGGUGGACCCUCAGAGAGGGAGAUGGGGAGGACAGCUAGGGAGACUUACAAUCAAUCCCCGUGCCUUGAGGGGUAUUCAUAGCAGCUUUAGUGGAUGAAAAAAAUUUAAAGAACACAUGAUUGAACUAAAA